rnacentral:rRNA from 1 species
AUUGAACGCUGGCGGCAUGCCUAACACAUGCAAGUCGAACGAGUGGCGGACGGGUGAGUCAUGUAUGGGAAACUGCCUGAUGGAGGGGGAUAACUACUGGAAACGGUAGCUAAUACCGCAUACCAUCAGAUGUGCCCAGAUGGGAUUAGCUAGUUGGUGGGGUAACGGCUCACCAAGGCUACGAUCCAUAGCUGGUUGGAGAGGAGGACCAGCCACACUGGGACUGAGACACGGUCCAGACUCCUACGGGAGGCAGCAGUGGGGAAUAUUGGACAAUGGGGGAAAGCCUGAUGCAGCCAUGCCGCGUGUAUGAAGAAGGCCUUCGGGUUGUAAAGUACUUUCGGCGGGGAGGCGUUACCUGCAGAAGAAGCACCGGCUAACUCCGUGCCAGCAGCCGCGGUAAUAC